rnacentral:rRNA from 1 species
AGUGAACGCUGGCGGUAGGCCUAACACAUGCCAGUCGAACGGCAGCACAGUAAGAGCUUGCUCUUACGGGUGGCGAGUGGCGGACGGGUGAGGAAUACAUCGGAAUCUACUUUUUCGUGGGGGAUAACGUAGGGAAACUUACGCUAAUACCGCAUACGACCUACGGGUGAAAGCAGGGGAUCUUCUGACCUUGCGCGAUUGAAUGAGCCGAUGUCGGAUUAGCUAGUUGGCGGGGUAGAGGCCCACCAAGGCGACGAUCCGUAGCUGGUCUGAGAGGAUGGUCAGCCACACUGGAACUGAGACACGGUCCAGACUCCUACGGGAGGCAGCAGUGGGGAAUAUCGGACAAUGGGCGCAAGCCUGAUCCAGCCAUACCGCGUGGGUGAAGAAGGCCUUCGGGUUGUAAAGCCCUUUUGUUGGGAAAGAAAAGCAGCAGGUUAAUACCCCGCUGUUCUGACGGUACCCAAAGAAUAAGCACCGGCUAACUUCGU